UCUGGAGGCUCGGAUUGGUGUGAAAGGGACGGGAAGGUCACUUGAAAUCGCUUUUUAUCCCAUUGCCCCCCCACCCCCCCAUGGAUCAGCAACUUUCAAUAGACAUAAUCUAAUUGCUCGUAAUGGAAAGACGAUUCGUGAGAAAUAGUUGGAAUAUAUAAAAUCAGUAAUAGCAUAUGGGCUUCAACUAUUUGGAGACGUAAACAAUUAACAGGACAGAGUCCACAUGAUAAAUCAUUUGCUAAUUAUUAAUGAAAAGUAUACAUAUAUACAUAUAUUAAAAGUGAUUCCCAAAACAAAGAAAAAGUUUCAUUUUCAGUUUAAAACCAGAUGCCAACAACAAAGGAUGUGCACGACUUUAAGUUUAUUAACAACAACCGUGAUCAUUUCUUGCAUGCUUUUAUCUUAAUAUUAUGCCGCUUUAGUUUGCAUGGAAAUAAAUGUUUAUUUUCUCAUUAUAUUUACUGUAGAUGUGUGUGUGCAGAGAUGCGCUCCUUCAGUUUAACGUGUCAUGAAUUGAAGUCUCUUUCCAGGGAUUUCGAAUCCCAGACUAUAAUUGAGGACAAUAACUGCAACGACUUUCCCAAUUAGACUUUAGGUUGGUUAGGUUAGAGGGGCUGUCAGUUUAUGCUAUGGGCAAUGGCUUUAUUGCUCACUAACCAUCAUUUCUUUAGAGCCUAUGUGCUAAUUACUCUGGAUGGUCCCAGAGACGGAGAUUAUAAAUCCAUUAGCACUGAAACCCUCGUGGUUCCACAGUGCAAACACUGUAAUUUUGUAGUACACCAAAAAACCAAACUUUAAGUACCAGGAGCUAGAUGAAGGGAAACAGAUUUUUCAACAGCGUGUGUAGGCUACUUCUUAGGAAACCAGUGUGGAAGGAAGCCUAGCGUAUAUCAAUCAGUAGCUAAGCCCAAUACACAGGGAAAAACUAACAGAAAAUUAACUGACAUGGGAAAAUGUUUUAUCAGAAGGGCUUGUGACUGUCAGUGCCCGGAGGGUUUGCCUUAAAAGCGACCUGCUUAUAUUACUGUGUCAACUUAAUGCAACACUGUAAUCAGAAAUGCUCAACACAACGCAAUUUUAAUAUUGUGAGGACUAUUUUCAUGCAAGUUUGGGAAAUAAUUUAGUCUCAUUCCCCAAGUGCCUGUCAAAUAUCCAGGGAGAGAUGCAGCCCUGAGCAACAAAGUGAAUUAGAACGGGACUUAAUACCUGCUUGGCUGAGUUUAAAGAGGGCAACGCAAAAAAAAAAAAAAAAAAAAAAAAAAAAAAAAAGACCUAACCGGGGGUUCGUGAAGGCAUCUCACCCUUAAGGUAAUUUAUUUCAGGGAAACCGGGGGGCCAAAGGUGGAAUUCUUGAGAAAUUCAACAAGGAUAAGGGAGCUUUAGGAAUUCUGCACGCAGAUUACCUUUCAUCCCAUCCUCACAUUAUCCUACAACACACUGUAGAAAUAUAGCCCAGCGACAGAAGAGCGAGAUUACUCUCCGACACAGAAGAGUGCAAAACCUUCUUUCUUUUUUUAAGUAUUGCGAUUACUUCGGAAGCGAACAAGAAGCGAGAGACAGACGAGGAGAGAAAAGGAAGAGGGGGGUCAACACAGCGGAGGAGUGUUUUCCUGUGCGCUUAAUGUUCAGAUUGUCCUGUCACUGCCAUAGCGGUGUAGUGGGUGACGGACUCACCUAUGAGAGUUAGCUCCCAUUUCAAAAUAUUUAUGGCAGCCAAUUUCACAUCAGAAAGCAUCUACGAAUCUAAUUAGUUCGCUUCUGGUAACUUUAACACACUGAUGUUUACAUUGUGGGCUAUGGUGCCUUGCGCUGACUGAUGACCUUUGGUGAUACUUUGCCAUAGUUUUCCCAUCCCUUCCUUUGAAUCUGAAUGAGUGGCAUGAUAUAAGCACUGCACUAUUUUCCUCUCAUUUUUUCCUGAAAAAAAAAAAAAAAAAUCAACACACAGCAGGGGAUUAAUUAGAAAUGUAGUGUAGCUGAACCAUGAGCGACUGAGCACGCUGCUGCAGUCUAGUUUACAUCAGUACAGAGGAAAUCAUUUCCCAGUAAUUCUCUGAGGCAGUUUGAGUGAGAGGCAUAUUCGUGCACAUUUACCAGCUUUAAAAAUAUUUCGUGCCAUAAAUUGAUCUAUACUGUAUGAGAAAUAUGUCUUAACAUGUAGAUAUUAUCAUGUCACACAAUUUCUAAGUCGUGCAACUAUUAAAAAUAUUUAAAACAAAAGACACACACUAACUAAUUCUUUCUCUCUCUCCCUCUCACCCACACACACACACACGCAUGCCGACGUUUUCAUUUUAAAGGAGUGUGUUUUAGUGUGCGUGAGGGCACAUGUGUGUUAAAAAGACAGCAAAGUGAAGGUGUGAAGAUGGCCUGUGUUUAGUGUCCAGACCUGGCAGAUUGUGACCUUAUCAAUGUGAAACUCUUAAGAUAAAUUAUUCAUAGCACCUGUUUGAUGUCUCCGGCCAAAGAAUGACAAAGGUGUGUGAUUUAAAAUGCAUCUCAAAGCCAUGAAUAUUAGCUACUGCACUACCUCUCUCUCUCUCUCUCUCUCUCUUUAAAGCUGAAUAAAAGAGAAACAGGGAAGAAGGCUGCAUUUUAAACAACAACAAAAAUGAACAAUUUGUUUCCCUAACAGGGGCACAGAAGUGUCUGGAAGUGUAGUCACAUUAAGUGAGUUGCUGCUUCGCUUUAUUUGUAGAUGAAUUAAUAAUAAUAAUAAUUAAAAAAUGCUCUCAAACAUGACUGAGUUCCGCCGUUUUCAGUAUGCAAGGCGUAGUUGCCAUCAGCCUAUUGUUUUAAUUUCAUAUGACUCACAGGUGUCUGCUGUUUAUGUGGGUCACCGAAACGGGCCACACACAUUGUCAUUUCCUGCUAUGUCCUCACUUUAAUUUGAAACUUGGAGGAGAGAGUUUGUUUGAGUGAUUCCGUGUGGUUAACCUUGCCCUUUGCAACUAAGUUUGUGUUGUUUGUCACCUCACAGGCAAAGAGGAACACGGUGGCCUGCCGCUUGGACACACAGUGGGACAUGUUGGUGUGGUGAAGGGCUGACACUCGGAUGAGAUGUAAUUUAUGGCAAGUGUUGUGUGGUCAUAGGACAGUGACAGUGACACGUCUGCUUAGAAGCACGAGAAUUGCGACCACUUGCCACAAAGAGCGAAUGCUACCACCUGUGUCUUGAGGAAGAAAGGAGGCAACCACCCGCAUUCUUUUUACCAGGAGCUGGUAAAGGUAAGUGGAGCCCCCUGUUAAAAUAAGGCAACAAAUAAAGGUUUUGUUGUAGUGUUUUUGCAUAAACUGUCAUUUUUUUAAUGCAAUGAACGUCACCACCCUUCAUCAGCUACAAAAGUCACUGUUAUAUGAACACACACAGUCACCAUCGAUGACUGUGCAGGCACAGUUGUUGCAAAGGAGCCUCGAGACCAACAAAGCUGGCUGAGACGGUAGCGCCGAAUGGAUCACGCUCUUGAAUUUGAUUUCAUAAUGAUGUAAGAUUACUAAGAGGCAAUGCAACACAGCAAAGAUCUUAAUAAAAAACACAUCAAUCUUGA